rnacentral:rRNA from 1 species
AGCGAACGCUGGCGGCAUGCCUAACACAUGCAAGUCGCACGGGUCGGCUUCGGCCGGGCAGUGGCGGACGGGUGAGGAACGCGUAGGGAUCUGUCCUCUGGGGGGGGAUAACCGCGGGAAACUGCGGCUAAGACCGCAGGGGGCGCCGGUGUGAGAGCCGGUGUCAAAGGCGCGCAUCGCGAGGUGUGUGUCGCCGGGGGGGGAGCCUGCGUCCGAUUAGGUGGUUGGCGGGGUAGUGGGCCACCAAGACGUCGAACGGUAGCUGGUCGGAGAGGGUCAGCAGCCCCACUGGGACGGCGCCACGGCCCAGCCUCCUACGGGAGGCAGCAGUGGGGAAUAUUGGACAAGGGGCGGAAGCCUGAUCCAGCACUGCCUCGUGGGUGAAGAAGGUCUUCGGGUUGUAAACCCCUUUCGGCGGGACGAUGGUGACGGUACCCGCAGAAGAAGCCCCGGCUAACUUCGUG